rnacentral:lncRNA from 1 species
AGGCGCCCGGCGCAAGCGUCUCACCGGUCAGCCUAUCGGGAGCGUUUUCCAUGUAAUAAUACAUGCCCAAGUCAGUUUUUCCAAAUGAAAAGGCAAAAGAUUUCUCUUAUCGGUUAAGUUAGCAAAAGAUAAUUAUCCACUUAAUUGAUAAAGUACGGGACGAAAACUGUUACUAACAUGAUCACCUGCAGACUACUCCCAAACUGUCACAACCAAGCUUAAGUCAUUUAGAAGAAAAAAA